UACGUAGGGAGCAAGCGUUGUCCGGAAUCAUUGGGCGGAAAGCGCGCGUAGGCGGCCCUGUAAGUCCGUUGUGAAAGUCAAAGGCUCAACCUUUGAAAGCCGAUGGAUACUGCAGGGCUAGAGUCCGGAAGAGGCGAGUGGAAUUCCUGGUGUAGCGGUGGAAUGCGCAGAUAUCAGGAGGAACACCAAUAGCGAAGGCAGCUCGCUGGGACGGUACUGACGCUAAGGCGCGAAAGCGUGGGGAGCGAACAGG
rnacentral:rRNA from 1 species